rnacentral:tRNA from 1 species
CAGGCGCUCGAGGACGCGGGACUCGGGGCCGUCAAGGGCGGCACGCUCUACCCGCUGCUGGCGCGGUUCGAGACCGCGGGGCUCGUC